rnacentral:rRNA from 1 species
CCUACGGGUGGCUGCAGUGGGGAAUUUUGGACAAUGGGGGCAACCCUGAUCCAGCCAUGCCGCGUGAGUGAAGAAGGCCUUCGGGUUGUAAAGCUCUUUCAGGUGGAAAGAAAUCGCAUCUUUUAAUACAGGGUGUGGAUGACGGUACCAUCAGAAGAAGCACCGGCUAACUACGUGCCAGCAGCCGCGGUAAUACGUAGGGUGCGAGCGUUAAUCGGAAUUACUGGGCGUAAAGCGUGCGCAGGCGGUUAUGUAAGACAGAUGUGAAAUCCCCGGGCUCAACCUGGGAACUGCGUUUGUGACUGCAUAACUAGAGUACGGCAGAGGGAGGUGGAAUUCCGCGUGUAGCAGUGAAAUGCGUAGAGAUGCGGAGGAACACCGAUGGCGAAGGCAGCCUCCUGGGCCAGUACUGACGCUCAUGCACGAAAGCGUGGGGAGCAAACAGGAUUAGAUACCCGAGUAGUC